AUUGAACGCUGGCGGCAUGCUUUACACAUGCAAGUCGAACGGUAACAGGCCGCAAGGUGCUGACGAGUGGCGAACGGGUGAGUAAUGCAUCGGAACGUGCCCAGUCGUGGGGGAUAACUACUCGAAAGAGUAGCUAAUACCGCAUACGAUCUAUGGAUGAAAGCGGGGGACCGUAAGGCCUCGCGCGAUUGGAGCGGCCGAUGUCAGAUCAGGUAGUUGGUGGGGUAAAGGAUCACCAAGCCAACGAUCUGUAGCUGGUCUGAGAGGACGACCAGCCACACUGGGACUGAGACACGGCCCAGACUCCUACGGGAGGCAGCAGUGGGGAAUUUUGGACAAUGGGCGCAAGCCUGAUCCAGCAAUGCCGCGUGCAGGAAGAAGGCCUUCGGGUUGUAAACUGCUUUUGUACGGAACGAAACGGCUCUGGUUAAUACCCGGGGCUAAUGACGGUACCGUAAGAAUAAGCACCGGCUAACUACGUG
rnacentral:rRNA from 1 species